rnacentral:rRNA from 1 species
UACGAAGGGGGCUAGCGUUGCUCGGAAUCACUGGGCGUAAAGGGUGCGUAGGCGGGUCUUUAAGUCAGGGGGGAAAUCCUGGAGCUCAACUCCAGAACUGCCUUUGAUACUGAAGAUCUUGAGUUCGGGAGAGGUGAGUGGAACUGCGAGUGUAGAGGUGAAAUUCGUAGAUAUUCGCAAGAACACCAGUGGCGAAGGCGGCCCACUGGCCCGAUACUGACGCUGAGGCACGAAAGCGUGGGGAGCAAACAGG